GAGGGUCGACAUAGGCGAGUCUGUGCUGAUGUUUUAACUGUUAUUGGUGAACUGCGAAUGGCUCAUUACUUCAGUUAUCGUUUAUUGGAUGGUCUCUUUCUACUUUUACUACCAUAGUGUUUCUAUUGCUGGUUCAUGCAGUUGAACCCAACUUCUGGAAUGGUUGGACUUGAUAUAGACCGACUCAACACACUUUGGGGGUAUUGGGUGAUUCAUAAUAACUUCUCGAGUCACCUUGCUUUACUCUGACCAUGAUUCUUUCAGAUUUCUGUCCUAUCCACUUUCAAUGGUAGGAUAGAGGCCUACCAUGGUGGGUAACGGGUAACUCGAAAAUAGGGAUCUAUUCCUGAAAAGGGAACCUGAAAAAACGGCUACCCCAUCCCAGGGAAGGCAGCAGGCGCCCAAAUUACCCCAUCCCUGACACAGGGAGGUAGUGACAAUAAAAUAACAAUACCGGGACCUUUUUAAGUCUUUUUUAUUUGGCAAUGAAAACAACUUUA
rnacentral:rRNA from 1 species